rfam:Trypanosoma brucei brucei strain 927/4 GTTat10.1 chromosome 10, whole genome shotgun sequence.
AGGUGUUGUUAGUUGGGCCAGUGGCAAUUUUUAUUCAUUCGGCCCUCUCCCACAACUCCUAGAACC